rnacentral:rRNA from 11 species
AAACUUUCAACAACGGAUCUCUUGGUUCUGGCAUCGAUGAAGAACGCAGCGAAAUGCGAUAAGUAAUGUGAAUUGCAGAAUUCAGUGAAUCAUCGAAUCUUUGAACGCACAUUGCGCCCGCGAGUAUUCUCGCGGGCAUGCCUGUUCGAGCGUCAUUU